AGGCCUAACACAUGCAAGUCGGACGAGAAGGUACCUUCGGGUACUGGAGAGUGGCGCACGGGUGAGUAACGCGUGGGGACCUACCUCUUAGUGGGGGAUAACGGUUGGAAACGACCGCUAAUACCGCAUACGCCCUUCGGGGGAAAGAUUUAUCGCUAAGAGAUGGACCCGCGUUGGAUUAGAUAGUUGGUGAGGUAACGGCUCACCAAGUCAGCGAUCCAUAGCUGGUUUGAGAGGAUGAUCAGCCACACUGGGACUGAGACACGGCCCAGACUCCUACGGGAGGCAGCAGUGGGGAAUAUUGGACAAUGGGGGCAACCCUGAUCCAGCCAUGCCGCGUGAGUGAAGAAGGCCUUCGGGUUGUAAAGCUCUUUCAGAUGCGAAGAUGAUGACGGUAACAUCAGAAGAAGCCCC
rnacentral:rRNA from 1 species